GGUUUACCUGCUGUGCUCUAGGGGUACUGGGCUUAGUCUAUCCACAGGAACUAGCUACCCUGUGACAAACUGCUACAUGUGGAGGAAGACUAUUACAGUUCAGUGCUACAAAAAUGCCAAUUCAUUGAAACUGAAACUCUUUGUGGGGGAACAUACCAGUUUCACUGAAACUUUCCUCAAGUCCAGGAGAAAAUUUCUGGGAAGAGAGAGAGAGAAAAAUAUCCCAGAAUAGCCAAAAACCCCAGAAUAGCCAAGAAUAACGUGGGUUUCUCACAUCCCAGCUUGAAUGAACUUUACAUGGGAGGUGAGGGUUGUAACCUUCAGAAUAAUCCAAUUCAAAUGUUCACUGGACUGUAAAAGAGAGGAGCAGAGAACCCCAAGUGAUCUUUCACCUAAGAAGACAAAAGAACCAAGCACUUUGGACAUUGUGAGCUCUUGAUUGGAGGACAUUGGUCAACCAUCUUGCUAGAAGGUAGCUUGGUAAAGAAACUACUUUGAAGGAAGGCUGUAGCUUAUUUUAUUAAGUCUUAGCCUCUAGAAAUCAUUUUUACUUUAAUUUGCUUGUAAUCAUUUCUAACUCUUUUAUACUUGAUCUCACUUACAAUCCCAUUUCCAUUUGUUAAUAAGAUUGUUUUAUUUUUAAUCUAAACCAACCCUGUGCUGUUUGAUAUAAAGUUAAUCAAUUAA